ensembl:snRNA U6 U6 spliceosomal RNA
GUGUUCUUCUUGGCAGCACAUAAACUAUAAUUGGAAUGAUACAGAGAACAUUAGCAUGGCCCCUGUGCAAGGAUGACAUGUAAAUUUGUGAAGCAUUUCAUAUUUUU